rnacentral:ncRNA from 4 species
UACGGAGGGAGCUAGCGUUGUUCGGAAUUACUGGGCGUAAAGCGCACGUAGGCGGCUAUUCAAGUCAGAGGUGAAAGCCCGGGGCUCAACCCCGGAACUGCCUUUGAAACUAGAUAGCUUGAAUCCAGGAGAGGUGAGUGGAAUUCCGAGUGUAGAGGUGAAAUUCGUAGAUAUUCGGAAGAACACCAGUGGCGAAGGCGGCUCACUGGACUGGUAUUGACGCUGAGGUGCGAAAGCGUGGGGAGCAAACAGG